rnacentral:lncRNA from 1 species
GACUGCACGGAAACUGUCUAACCUAUCAACUUGUCCUGUAAUUGUGCCAGGGGCUGACAGCAUGUGGAGGCUGCAUUCCUAGGACCAGCACACUGAUAUCUUUGGGAAAUUCUUGCCCGCUACUUGGGAUCCUGGCUGUUCUCUUCAUCUGCCGUGAUUUCUCGGAACCCAUCAGCAAAGCCUCAGAGGAAGAUGAAGACGAAGACAAAGAUGAAAAAGAAGAGAGGAAUAAAACUGUGCCUUGCAGAUCACACAGGAGUGACAGAGGUGGCCUGCUCGUACAGGUGGCACUUGGCUCAGGUUCAGCUGGAGUCACCACUGCCCCACAUUUCUUCAGGUCACUUUGGGACCCCACUCUCUACAAACAACAAUAUCCAGAGUCCACUCCACUCACCACCAUCUGCUCAGGGAGGCCAGAAGCCAGAUGUCCCCAUCGAACAUCACUGUGGAUACUGGGAGUCAAAACCAAGGGGGGAGGGUUCAGCUGAAACUGGAUUUAUCAGUCUCAGGCUGCAGGGAAGAUGGGGGCGGUUAGCAUUGGCACCUCAUCUCCAGAAUGCUCUGGUCCUGGCAAUCACAGGAGAUGCAAACCGAAGGCUUCUCCAUUACAGGAGCUGCCAGGAAAAAUGGGCAGGGCUGCUUUCCAGUAUAGCGAUUCCCAGUUGGGGGUCCUACAUAGGGUGGCUGUCGAUAGUGAGUGGUUGA